UCAUGGCUCAGAUUGAACGCUGGCGGCAGGCCUAACACAUGCAAGUCGAACGGUAACAGGAAACAGCUUGCUGUUUCGCUGACGAGUGGCGGACGGGUGAGUAAUGUCUGGGAAACUGCCUGAUGGAGGGGGAUAACUACUGGAAACGGUAGCUAAUACCGCAUAACGUCGCAAGACCAAAGAGGGGGACCUUCGGGCCUCUUGCCAUCGGAUGUGCCCAGAUGGGAUUAGCUAGUAGGUGGGGUAACGGCUCACCUAGGCGACGAUCCCUAGCUGGUCUGAGAGGAUGACCAGCCACACUGGAACUGAGACACGGUCCAGACUCCUACGGGAGGCAGCAGUGGGGAAUAUUGCACAAUGGGCGCAAGCCUGAUGCAGCCAUGCCGCGUGUAUGAAGAAGGCCUUCGGGUUGUAAAGUACUUUCAGCGGGGAGGAAGGGAGUAAAGUUAAUACCUUUGCUCAUUGACGUUACCCGCAGAAGAAGCACCGGCUAACUCCGUGCCAGCAGCCGCGGUAAUACGGAGGGUGCAAGCGUUAAUCGGAAUUACUGGGCGUAAAGCGCACGCAGGCGGUUUGUUAAGUCAGAUGUGAAAUCCCCGGGCUCAACCUGGGAACUGCAUCUGAUACUGGCAAGCUUGAGUCUCGUAGAGGGGGGUAGAAUUCCAGGUGUAGCGGUGAAAUGCGUAGAGAUCUGGAGGAAUACCGGUGGCGAAGGCGGCCCCCUGGACGAAGACUGACGCUCAGGUGCGAAAGCGUGGGGAGCAAACAGGAUUAGAUACCCUGGUAGUCCACGCCGUAAACGAUGUCGACUUGGAGGUUGUGCCCUUGAGGCGUGGCUUCCGGAGCUAACGCGUUAAGUCGACCGCCUGGGGAGUACGGCCGCAAGGUUAAAACUCAAAUGAAUUGACGGGGGCCCGCACAAGCGGUGGAGCAUGUGGUUUAAUUCGAUGCAACGCGAAGAACCUUACCUGGUCUUGACAUCCACAGGACUUUCCAGAGAUGGAUUGGUGCCUUCGGGAACUGUGAGACAGGUGCUGCAUGGCUGUCGUCAGCUCGUGUUGUGAAAUGUUGGGUUAAGUCCCGCAACGAGCGCAUCCCUUAUCCUUUGUUGCCAGCGGUCCGGCCGGGAACUCAAAGGAGACUGCCAGUGAUAAACUGGAGGAAGGUGGGGAUGACGUCAAGUCAUCAUGGCCUUUACGACCAGGGUUACACACGUGCUACAAUGGCGCAUACAAAGAGAAGCGACCUCGCGAGAGCAAGCGGACCUCAUAAAGUGCGUCGUAGUCCGGAUUGGAGUCUGCAACUCGACUCCAUGAAGUCGGAAUCGCUAGUAAUCGUGGAUCAGAAUGCCACGGUGAAUACGUUCCCGGGCCUUGUACACACCGCCCGUCACACCAUGGGAGUGGGUUGCAAAAGAAGUAGGUAGCUUAACCUUCGGGAGGGCGCUUACCACUUUGUGAUUCAUGACGGGAAGAGGUCGUAACAAGGUAACCGU
rnacentral:rRNA from 1 species